rnacentral:misc_RNA from 1 species
GAUGAAGAACGUAGCGAAAUGCGAUAAGUAAUGUGAAUUGCAGAAUUCAGUGAAUCAUCGAAUCUUUGAACGCACCUUGCGCCCUUUGGCUAUUCCGAAGGGCAUGCCUGUUUGAGUAUCAUGAACACCUCAACUCUCAUGGUUUGCCAUGAUGAGCUUGGACUUUGGGGGUCUAGCCGGCCUAUGGGUCGGCUCCUCUCAAAUUAAUCAGCUUGCCAGUGUUUGGUGGCAUCACAGGUGUGAUAACUAUCUACGCUUGUGGUUUUCCAUCAGGUAACCUUCAGUGAUGGAGGUUCGCUGGGGCUCAUAAAUGUCUCUCCUCAGUGAGGACAGCUUUUUUGAACGUUUGAUCUCAAAUCAGGUAGGACUACCCGCUGAACUUAAGCAUAUCAAUAAGCGGAGGA